rnacentral:rRNA from 1 species
GAAUAUUGCACAAUGGGCGCAAGCCUGAUGCAGCGACGCCGCGUGGGGGAUGACGGCCUUCGGGUUGUAAACUCCUUUCGACAGGGACGAAGCGUUAUAGUGACGGUACCUGUAGAAGAAGCACCGGCUAACUACGUGCCAGCAGCCGCGGUAAUACGUAGGGUGCGAGCGUUGUCCGGAAUUACUGGGCGUAAAGAGCUCGUAGGUGGUUUGUCGCGUCGUCUGUGAAAUCCCGGGGCUUAACCUCGGGCGUGCAGGCGAUACGGGCAUAACUUGAGUGCUGUAGGGGAGACUGGAAUUCCUGGUGUAGCGGUGAAAUGCGCAGAUAUCAGGAGGAACACCAAUGGCGAAGGCAGGUCCCUGGGCAGUAACUGACGCUGAGGAGCGAAAGCAUGGGUAGCGAACA